rnacentral:ncRNA from 1 species
CAGAACGUCGCGAGACAGUUCGGUCCCUAUCUGUUGUGGGCGUUGGAAGUUUGAGUGGAUCUGUCCUUAGUACGAGAGGACCGGGAUGGACUGACCGCUGGUGAACCAGUUAUGCCGCCAGGUGUACGGCUGGGUAGCUACGUCGGGAAUAGAUAAGCGCUGAAAGCAUCUAAGUGCGAAACUAGCCACGAGAUGAGACUUCCUUAUA